CCUACGGGUGGCAGCAGUGGGGAAUAUUGGGCAAUGGAGGCAACUCUGACCCAGCAACGCCGCGUGAAUGAUGAAGGUCUUCGGAUUGUACAGUUCUGUGAUGGGGGAUGAACACAAUGACGGUACCCCACUAGCAAGCCACGGCUAACUCCGUGCCAGCAGCCGCGGUAAUACGUAGGUGGCAAGCGUUAUCCGGAAUGACUGGGCGUAAAGGGUGCGUAGGUGGUUUAGUAAGUUGGCGGUGUAAUUCCGGGGCGCAACCUCGGCGCUACCGCCAAAACUAUUAGACUAGAGUGCAGGAGGGGUAAGUGGAAUUCCUAGUGGAGCGGUGGAAUGCGGAGAUAUUAGGAGGAACAUCAGGGGCGAAGGCGACUUACUGGACUGUAACUGACACUGAGGCACGAAAGCGUGGGGAGCAAACAGGAUUAGAUACCCGAGUAGUC
rnacentral:rRNA from 1 species